rnacentral:rRNA from 1 species
GUGUCAGCCGCCGCGGUAAUACGUAGGGGGCGAGCGUUGUCCGGAAUUACUGGGCGUAAAGGGUACGUAGGCGGCUAGGUAAGUCAGGUGUGAAAUCCAUGGGCUCAACCCAUGUAAGCACUUGAAACUGCUUAGCUUGAGUUAAGGAGAGGAAAGCGGAAUUCCUGGUGUAGCGGUGAAAUGCGUAGAUAUCAGGAGGAACACCAGUGGCGAAGGCGGCUUUCUGGCCUUGGACUGACGCUGAGGUACGAAAGCGUGGGGAGCAAACAGGAUUAGAUACCCUGGUAGUCCACGCCGUAAACGAUGAGUGCUAGGUGUCGGGAGUUAAACUUUCGGUGCCGCAGUUAACACAUUAAGCACUCCGCCUGGGGAGUACGUGCGCAAGCAUGAAACUCAAAUGAAUUGACGG